rnacentral:rRNA from 1 species
UCAAGUAAUUAAGUGCAUGUGGUGGAUGCCUUGGCAGUCAGAGGCGAUGAAAGACGUGAUAGCCUGCGAAAAGCUCCGGGGAGGCGGCAAAUAUCCUUUGAUCCGGAGAUGUCUGAAUGGGGGAACCCACCUACUUUAAGGUAGGUAUUGCAACAUGAAUACAUAGUGUUGCAAGGCGAACGAGGGGAAGUGAAACAUCUCAGUACCCUUAGGAAAAGAAAUCAAUUGAGAUUCCCUCAGUAGCGGCGAGCGAACGGGGAUCAGCCCAUUAAGUUAUGUGUGUUUUAGUGGAACGCUCUGGGAAGUGCGAACGUAGAGGGUGAUAUUCCCGUACACGAAAGGGCACACAUAAUGAUGACGAGUAGGGCGAGGCACGUGAAACCUUGUCUGAAUAUGGGGGGACCAUCCUCCAAGGCUAAAUACUCCUGACUGACCGAUAGUGAACCAGUACCGUGAGGGAAAGGCGAAAAGAACCCCUGUGAGGGGAGUGAAAUAGAUCCUGAAACCGCAUGCAUACAAGCAGUGGGAGCACCUUCGUGGUGUGACUGCGUACCUUUUGUAUAAUGGGUCAGCGACUUAUAUUCAGUAGCGAGGUUAACCGUAUAGGGGAGCCGUAGAGAAAUCGAGUCUUAAUAGGGCGUUUAGUUGCUGGGUAUAGACCCGAAACCAGGCGAUCUAUCCAUGAGCAGGUUGAAGGUUGGGUAACACUAACUGGAGGACCGAACCCACUGUCGUUGAAAAGCCAGGGGAUGACUUGUGGAUAGGGGUGAAAGGCUAAUCAAGCCUGGUGAUAGCUGGUUCUCCCCGAAAGCUAUUUAGGUAGCGCCUCGGACGAAUACCAUAGGGGGUAGAGCACUGUUUCGGCUAGGGGGUCAUCCCGACUUACCAAACCGAUGCAAACUCCGAAUACCUAUGAGUACUAUCCGGGAGACAGACUGCGGGUGCUAACGUCCGUAGUCAAGAGGAAAACAAUCCAGACCGCCAGCUAAGGCCCCAAAAUCAUAGUUAAGUGGGAAACGAUGUGGGAAGGCAUAGACAGCUAGGAGGUUGGCUUAGAAGCAGCCACCCUUUAAAGAAAGCGUAAUAGCUCACUAGUCGAGUCGGCCUGCGCGGAAGAUGUAACGGGGCUAAAACUAUGUGCCGAAGCUGCGGAUGUAUACUUUGUAUACGUGGUAGGGGAGCGUUCUGUAAGCCGAUGAAGGUGUGUUGAGAAGCAUGCUGGAGGUAUCAGAAGUGCGAAUGCUGACGUGAGUAACGACAAAACGGGUGAAAAACCCGUUCGCCGAAAGACCAAGGGUUCCAGUCCAACGUUAAUCGGGGCUGGGUGAGUCGACCCCUAAGGCGAGGCCGAAAGGCGUAGUCGAUGGGAAAAUGGUUAAUAUUCCAUUACUUCUGUGUAAUGCGAUGAGAGGACGGAGAAGGCUAAAUCAGCCUGGCGUUGGUUGUCCAGGUGAAAGGAUGUAGGCAUGUAUCUUAGGCAAAUCCGGGGUACUCUAUGCUGAGAUCUGAUAGCAAGCUGUACUUGUACAGCGAAGUGGUUGAUGCCAUGCUUCCAGGAAAAGUCUCUAAGCUUCAGUUACACAGGAAUCGUACCCGAAACCGACACAGGUGGUCAGGUCGAGUAGACCAAGGCGCUUGAGAGAACUCUGCUGAAGGAACUAGGCAAAAUGGUACCGUAACUUCGGGAGAAGGUACGCUGUUGUUGGUGAUGGAACUCGCUUCCUGAGCUGACGACAGCCGCAGAAACCAGGCCGCUGCAACUGUUUAUUAAAAACAUAGCACUCUGCAAACACGAAAGUGGACGUAUAGGGUGUGAUGCCUGCCCGGUGCUGGAAGGUUAAUUGAUGGGGUUAGCGUAAGCGAAGCUCUUGAUCGAAGCCCCAGUAAACGGCGGCCGUAACUAUAACGGUCCUAAGGUAGCGAAAUUCCUUGUCGGGUAAGUUCCGACCUGCACGAAUGGCAUAAUGAUGGCGGCGCUGUCUCCAGCAGAGGCUCAGUGAAAUCGAAAUCGCUGUGAAGAUGCAGUGUACCCGCGGCUAGACGGAAAGACCCCGUGAACCUUUACUGCAGCUUGACACUGAACUUUGACCUUACUUGUGUAGGAUAGGUGGGAGGCUUUGAAGCUGGAACGCUAGUUCCAGUGGAGCCGUCCUUGAAAUACCACCCUGGUAAUGUUGAGGUUCUAACUCUGUCCCGUGAUCCGGGACGAGGACCGUGUCUGGUGGGUAGUUUGACUGGGGCGGUCUCCUCCUAAAGAGUAACGGAGGAGUACGAAGGUGCGCUCAGCGUGGUCGGAAAUCACGCGUAGAGUAUAAAGGCAAAAGCGCGCUUAACUGCGAGACCCACAAGUCGAGCAGGUACGAAAGUAGGUCUUAGUGAUCCGGUGGUUCUGUAUGGAAGGGCCAUCGCUCAACGGAUAAAAGGUACUCUGGGGAUAACAGGCUGAUACCGCCCAAGAGUUCAUAUCGACGGCGGUGUUUGGCACCUCGAUGUCGGCUCAUCUCAUCCUGGGGCUGAAGCAGGUCCCAAGGGUAUGGCUGUUCGCCAUUUAAAGAGGUACGCGAGCUGGGUUUAGAACGUCGUGAGACAGUUCGGUCCCUAUCUACCGUGGGCGCUGGAAAUUUGAGAGGAUCUGCUCCUAGUACGAGAGGACCAGAGUGGACGAACCUCUGGUGUACCGGUUGUGACGCCAGUCGCAUCGCCGGGUAGCUAUGUUCGGAAGGGAUAACCGCUGAAAGCAUCUAAGCGGGAAGCCUACCUCAAGAUAAGAUUUCCCUAGGACUUUAUGUCCUCUAAAGAGCCGUUCGAGACUAGGACGUUGAUAGGUUGGAUGUGGAAGCAUAGUGAUAUGUGAAGCUGACCAAUACUAAUUGCUCG